rnacentral:lncRNA from 1 species
AUCUUGGAAGUCUGAGUCCAAGAUCGAUCACUGGCACGUUUUCGAAGUUUCUCAAGCUCCGUAAUGAAGUCGGCUUUCCUUUUGGUGUAUUCCAUGAAACUUUUCUUGUGGAGGUUUUGAAAGUGAGUAGCCUCCGCGGUGGCCUCUGAAUGACUCUCCUUCAGUCGGUGAAGUUCGUCUUCUAGCUUCUUGAAUUUUCUUGUCAACUGACGAACUUCUCUUUGGAGGUCUCGAAUCAUCGACUUCAAGGGAAUACCCUCCGG